rnacentral:rRNA from 1 species
CAGCCGCCGCGGUAAUACCGGCGGCCCGAGUGGCGGUCACUAUUAUUGGGCUUAAAGCGUCCGUAGCCGGGUUGGGAAGUCCUCCGGGAAAUCUGGCCGCUUAACGGUCAGAAUGCCGGAGGAUACUCCCAGCCUAGGGAGCGGGAGAGGCCGAGGGGAUUCCCGGGGUAGGGGUGAAAUCCUAUAAUCCCGGGAGGCCCACCUGUGGCGAAGGCGCUCGGCUGGAACGCGUCCGACGGUGAGGGACGAAGGCCAGGGGAGCAAACCGGAUUAGAUACCCGGGUAGUCCUGGCUGUAAACGAUGCGGACUUUGUGUCGGACAAGCUAUGAGCUUGUCCGGUGCCGGAGGGAAACCGUUAAGUCCGCCGCCUGGGGAGUACGGCCGCAAGGCUGAAACUUAAAGGAAUUGGCGGG